AAUAAAUUACAAAAAUCACAAUAAUAUACAAUUUAAGUAACCUUUAUAUAAUAAACAAAGUUUGCAUGGUACUAAACAAGUUUCUAUGGUAACUAAAAAUACAAGAAUAUAUACAGCGCCACCGGAAGUCACAAUACGUAAACAACAUGGCAAAAAGUUAUGUGUGUCACCGGCGGACCAAAAUGAUAAAUAUCAAGGAUAGUGAGCAUUAACAUCUACAAAACAUUGAAGACGUUGACUACAAAUACUAAAAGGAAUUACAAGAAACGUGUGAAAACAGUUGCCAACACGUAAAAAUAGUGUUUUUAUUGAACAAUCGUCCAAAGUGACACAUGGGUUUUACUGCGCAUGUCAAUACAUUUCAUUCAUAAAAUUCAAGCACAGGUGCGUGGAAUUUACUACGAUUUACUACAGUUUCUACAAUUGGAUCUUCACAAAAAUACAAGACAUACAGUUGGAUUAUUCAGUGGAUUAUUACUAUGAACUGGUAAAUUAUUACAUGAACUUCAACUGGUUUAUCAAAUAUAUGCAAAUGAC
rnacentral:lncRNA from 1 species